GUGUUUAUUGGCAGCAUACAUAAGUACUAAAAUUGGAAAGAUACAGAGAGCAUAGCAUGCUCCCUGUGCAAGGAUGACAAGCAAAAGUGAGAAAUUAUUUUAAAAAAU